GGGUUAGUAGGUUGGUCAUGCCUCUGGUAUGUACUGGUCUCACUGAUUCCUCCUUCCUGAUGAACCUUAAUGCCAUUAAUUUGGUGUUUUGGGGAAUUUGGACUGUUACUUUUAAAAAAUUAGAGUGUUCAAAGCAGGCUUCAACGCUUGAAUACAUUAGCAUGGAAUAAUGAAAUAGGACUUUGGUUCUAUUUUGUUGGUUUCUAGGAUCGACGUA
rnacentral:rRNA from 1 species